UGCUAAUAUGUGCUACAUAACUCUAAAAGUAUGGGGAAAUUCUUAAUUAAUUUCUGUUUAGUAGUUCAUAUUUUAUUCUUUAUUGUCUUUCCAAAAGCCAUAUUUGAGCACACACACACAUACAUGUACAUUCCUUUAAUU